UGGGAAGCAGGUGCCGGAACCACUGAGCUAAAUCCCUGGCCCUGGUCAACUCUUGAUUAUUUGGGAUCAGAUUAUCUGAGGAGAUUGAGCCCUAGAUGAUACCAUCCCACUCCUUCUUCCUACCUGUUUCACAAUUUACAAACCCAUGGAGUAAGCAGACAGAAGUGGAAUGAUAUUCAAUUUAAUAAGGAGUUGAGGAUCCCGUGAGUGGCACUGCCUCCGUGAUUGGGGACACAUACUCUGACUGCAGGAUAAGAGUGAGAAGGUGGCCCAUGGUGUUGGAAGCUACUAAAAGGAAAGCACAGACCAGGUAAUUUAUAAAGAACAGAAAUUUAUUUCUCACACUGUAAGAUCUGGGAAGCCUAAAGUCAAGGUACCAGCAUGUGAUCUGGGCCUUUUGUAUAUGUAUCUUUCCAUGAAAGAAGGUAGAAGAACAAGGACAUGAUGGUGGUCGUGAACUGUUGGAUAAUUUUCAUGCCAGUCUUUUGUAAAUUGGACAGUUGAGAGUACUUCAUCAGGUCUUCCAAUUUUUUUUAAUCUUUUGUUUGUUUUGUUUGGCUUUGUUUUUUGAGACAUAGUCUCAUUAUGUAGUUUAGGCUGCCCUUAAAUUCACUGAGAUACUCUUGCCUCCUCCUCUCAAUUACUGGGAUUACAGGUGUGCACCACCAUGCCUGGCCUCAUUUUUUUUUUAACUAGAUCAUAAAGCAAAAAGUCCUGGAAAAAAAUGUUUUAUUCUGCUAUAGUUAGAUAACGACUUUUUUUUUUCCAGUACCGGGGGUUGAACUCAGGAACUUGCCCUUGUGAGGCAGGGGUGGCAGAUAACAACUUUUUUGAUUAAGAUAUGACAGUAACUUCAAACUGGUUACAUUGAAAUUUCUGGACACUUUUGGCCAUUCCUUUUUUGUUGUUGUAUUAGCUAGAUUCUUAGAGAAUAUUCUAUUUUAUCACAUUUAUAAGGCAUACUAUUUUACCUCAAGGUUUUUGUUUUGGGUUUGGUUUGGUUUGGCUUUGUUUUUUUUUUUUUUUUGAGGUACUGGGGAUUG